AUCUUAAUAUGGGUAUCUUCAAUUCAAGAAUGAAUAGGCAUCUUCUAGGCAAGCGCGCUCUACCUUAGGCUGCAUCAGCACUUGCCACCAGGUUCUGAUUGCAACCAUGCGCUAGUCUACAAAUUAAAAAAAAACCGGCCAAGU